rnacentral:hammerhead_ribozyme from 1 species
GCACUGUUGACGAGUCCCAAACAGAACGAAACAUAUGUCCAGUGU